rnacentral:rRNA from 1 species
GAUGAACGCUAGCUACAGGCUUAACACAUGCAAGUCGAGGGGUAACAAGAGAAAAGCUUGCUUUUCUUGUUGACGACCGGCGCACGGGUGAGUAACGCGUAUCCAACCUGCCUAUAACUAGGGAAUAACCUUGCGAAAGUAAGACUAAUACCCUAUGAUUUCCUUUGAUGACAUCAGAUUAGGAAUAAAGAUUUAUCGGUUAUAGAUGGGGAUGCGUCUGAUUAGCUUGUUGGCGGGGUAACGGCCCACCAAGGCAACGAUCAGUAGGGGUUCUGAGAGGAAGGUCCCCCACAUCGGAACUGAGACACGGUCCAAACUCCUACGGGAGGCAGCAGUGAGGAAUAUUGGUCAAUGGGCGGAAGCCUGAACCAGCCAAGUAGCGUGCAGGAUGACGGCCCUAUGGGUUGUAAACUGCUUUUAUACAGGAAUAAAGUUAGCCACGUGUGGUUAUUUGUAGGUACUGUAUGAAUAAGGACCGGCUAAUUCCGCGCCAGCAGCCGCCGUAA